rnacentral:lncRNA from 14 species
CUUGGACUUACAAACAGGUGUGUAAGUCCUCACUCACACCCAGGUUCUCUGGAGGAGCAGCCAGUGCUUGUAACCACUGGGCCAUCUCUGCAGCCCAAGUAAACCUUCUUUUUUUUUAAAAAAAAAAAGCAGAGUCCAGGAAGGGCAAGGAGUCUGAGUACCAUUGAAUUACACUUGGAAGCCUUUAGCAUGACGAUGCCAGGGGAGAGAACAUCCAUGCAGGCAUGGCUCUAACAACCAGUGGCAUGAGGGGAGGAGGAGGCAAGGGAGGUCAGUGCAGCUCAGCCUCGUGCAAGUGUGGAGGGGCUGCUGGUGUGAGUUUCCUCACAGGGAUCCUGAGCAGCAGCUGGGGUGGAGCCAAAGAUUGCCCUCCUGUAUGUUCCUUGAUGGUUUGGAUUCCAUUGUGUCCUUAUCUGGAAGCUAACAAGAUGACCCCAGGUUGAGCACCUCUGACAUCGGUUGUCCUUUCUCUCCCUAUAGCCUCUUACACCAGCAACUUGGCCUACAGCUUCUUUAGUCAGAAGCUCUAUGAGGAGGCUUGUGCCAUCUCAGAGCCAGUCUGUCAGCACUUGGGCUUGGCUAAGUCAGGCGCUUGUCCCGAAGUGCCUCCUGAGAAGCUACAUAGGUGCUUCCGGCUGCAUGUGGAGAGUUUGAAGAAAUGGGGUAAACAGGCCCAGGGCUGCAAGAUGGUGACCUUAUGGCUGGCAGCUCUGAAACCCUACGGUCUCCAACACAUGGUUGAGCCAGUCACUUUCUGGGUUCGGGUCAAAAUGGAUGCAGCCAAGGCAGGAGACAAGGAGCUACAACUGCAGACUUUGCGAGACAGCCUAAGUUGCUGGGACCCAGAGAUGCAGUCUCUGCUACUGAGGGAGGAGCUGCAGGCCUAUAAGGCAGUACGGGCUGACACUGGGCAGGAACGCUUCAACGUCAUCUGCGAUCUGCUUGAGCUCAGCCCUGAGGACACAGCAGCUGGAGCCUGGGCACGAGCUACCCACCUGGUGGAAUUGGCCCAAGUGCUGUGCUACCAUAGCUUUGCCCAGCAGACAAACUGCUCUGCCUUGGAUGCUAUCCAGGAGGCCCUGCAGCUUCUGGAGUCCGUGAGUCCCGAGGCACAGGAGCAGGACCGCCUUCUAGAUGACAAAGCACAGGCCCUGCUAUGGCUCUACAUCUGCACCUUGGAGGCCAAAAUGCAGGAAGGUAUCGAGCGGGAUCGGAGGGCCCAGGCCCCUAGUAACUUGGAGGAAUUUGAAGUCAAUGACCUGAACUAUGAAGAUAAACUGCAGGAAGAUCGCUUUCUAUACAGUAACAUUGCCUUCAAUCUGGCUGCUGAUGCAGCGCAGUCCAGAUGCCUGGACCAGGCCCUGACUCUGUGGAAGGAAGUGCUCACCAAGGAGCCAGCCCCAGCUGUGCGGUGUCUCCAGCAGACGGCAGCCUCCCUGCAAAUCCUGGU